UUGCACCUAAUCCUUAAUUGUACUGAAAUUGAAAUUAGACGUAAAUCCUGAACCCCAUUCAGCACAACAAUCUAAAUAUGUUUUUACGAAAAGUUUGUUUUAUUCGUUUACAAUAAUUCAAGUGCAUUACAUCAGUAUGAUUUGUUAGCAGUCAUUUUAGUACAGCGGCUCCAACAGUGAGCAGCGGCACGAACAGAUUUGACAAAUAUUUGAAGGCGAUUGUUUUCAUUUUGUUUGUUUACCUUUGCAGGAAAAUUUUUCGUUUAAAAUUUGAAAGAAAUGUGUAGUUUUUUGAAAAUUUGUUGCCGUCCGACCCUGUUUGAUGCAGUCUCGUCUGACAGAAAGUCGAGGAACCCGUGGAACCAUCCGGAUAAAGCUGCUGUCAUCAUGUGUUGCUGGCCCGGCUGUUUUAAGCAGUCACUAGUUUUCGAAUUGUCGAGAUCCAUUGGUCAGAGGCCAUCAGUAGUGGGUCGCAGGAUGAAUUAAGUCCGCUCCAAUUGUUCACCAACAAAUUGCUUGUAAUUCUUAUAAGCAUAUACCAGCAACGGUAAAACUUCGACAGAGAAUUGUUCAGGCCAUCCGGUUCGCACUACUUUGGCUGGCACUUCAAAAAUCUUGAUUAACACACUUUCGGGUGCAGUCGAAAUUUCGUUCACCAUGUACAUGUAAGUUAAUAUUAGAAAUAUUUUUUUAGUUUUACACCAUCUCGUGGUGUUUGGGAGAUUUGAGUCAUGUUUCAAAACUCCCAAACAAAAUGACAGGCCUGAAACUACAGCUACCAAAACAAGCUUCCCAAUAAUGUUUCCCAAUUCCCAAAGGUUCCCAAUAAUGUGCAUAUAAACCAAGAAUUCAACAUCAAAUAGUGAAUAAAGAAUUUAGCAUUCAUAAUUUAAUAAAAGUGAAUAAACUUUUACGAGAACUUGGAUAGAACUUGAACUUUAUUUUCUAAAACCAUUGAUUUUUUUUUCUUCCACAGGUAGUGUUAGUAAUCAUCAUGAACGACUGUGUGUUGAUGAUACCGGCUCAAAUUGGCACAGCGAUGGUAUCUUUAAAUUUAUCGCCAUUCAACUCAAAACUCGUCGAUUGUUAAAACUGAUCAAACUGCUCCAAUACCUUGUUGGAUGAAAUUUCGAAACAUCAGUUAUGGUUAACUUGCAUCCGAAGUUGCAAAAGAAGCAAUAAACGGUUAAAAGAAUUUCAAAUCGGUGCCGGGUAGCCGUGUUAGCAACGAUGACAAAUAGGCAACAACCUACUGUCUCUCAGGUAUCAGAUCUGGGUACACAGGAAACAGCCCUUGAUAGCCAGUGCUGUUUCCGACUCAGUGAACAAAGGUUGUGCCUUUUAGGUAAUAUUUUUUUUAUUACCAUUCUAUAUUA